rnacentral:pre_miRNA from 1 species
AAUAGCACUCUGUUCCCUUCAUAGUGCACUAUGGGCCCUAGUCAAAAGUAGUGCACUAUAUAGGGAACAGGGUGCUAUUU